rnacentral:lncRNA from 1 species
GCAGCAGCGAGUGCAGCCCGUUUCCCAGGCCUCGUGGGCCUGGGGUGUACAGCCAGGAAGGGCAGGGGUUUCUGGACUGCAAAGGGCCCCCCGGGGCGGCACGAACUGGGCCUGUGGUCAUUUCCAGAGAGGCCUGUGCCGGCCACCACCCCUGGGAAGCCACUCCGGAAGAGGAACAGCUGGAACCUCCUGAAGUGUACAUACAUGGUGCUCACCUUCCUGUUUGUGUCCUACAACAAAGGGGACUGGCAUCAGGAAUCACGCGCCACUCCACUUCAUCCUGGCAACAAUCCUAUGGGGGUUCUGUGAUGCUGCUUCAGCACAGGUGAAGCUACAUUGGCCCAGGGGGAUCAGAGCCAAGAUCCAGCCCAGGGCCUCUUUCAUCUGCUUUGUUACUUCUGCUGUUACUACUUCAGAGAGUCCAGGUUUUUGGAUUGCUCCACCUCAUUGCCCCCUGGGUUUGCCUUUGGUGAGUUGGAAGUCUGGGGUUGCAUCUUGCUUAAGUGUCUUCUCAUUUUCAAUAUUUUUUUAGUUUAAUUCCUGGGUUGAUGCUUGUAAACUGUGUAUGGCAAGGAGCUCUAUUGCUAAUAUUUAGAACCCUUAGGAAAUGACUACUUCUCCGAGGUGUCUUACAGGUGUAGCUGGCUUUGGAUUUUGAGUCUGUUGCAAG